rnacentral:lncRNA from 1 species
CGCCCCCCUUUUUUUGCCAUGUGAAAUAAAGAGUCCUCCUUAAAGAAGGCUCUUAACUAACACGCGUUGCCUUACAUUCCCGAUCAGAAAUCCUACAUUUUGUCAUCAAAAUUUAUUAAAUUUUUUAUGGCAUGUAGAAGACUAAGAAUCAUUUUGCUCCAAAUAAUUAGAUCACCAAAAAUUUACUCGAUGAAUUUGUUUGGUGCAUGGGAAGUUAGAGCGCCAAAAAUUGGCACCCCUUCAUCCCAUGAGACGUCCUCCGAUCUCCUAUUUAUAGGGGAUGCCCGACAUGGCUUCUUGCAGUGAUUUUUGAGUAAAAUUAAAGAGAAGGGAUGUGAUAAAUAUAAAAAAAAUUCUAGAAAAAUUUUGAAAAAAAAAAUUGAAUGGCAAAAGUUGCUAUAAGGGUGGUGAAAUUUUCAGCAAGUGUUGUUUGAGUGUCCUAGGAUUUGAUUUUUUUAUAUGUUGGAGCCAAAAAUCAAAUUCUAGGUUGUGUGACAUUUGAAGAGUGUCUUCUUGAUGUCAUUCUGAUGGUAAGAUCGAAAGCAACUGAGCUUUGGUGCGAUCGUGAUGCAAGUUUGAAGCCGGCAGUAUUC